UCUCUACGUCUGUUCACUUGUCACGUAACUGGUUAAUCAGUGAGCUGGCUGCCUAGCAGUGAUCCACAGCAGCCAAAGAGGCUUCCUGGACUCCUAACUGAGGAUCCCGACAAGCAAGUGGAGGAAUGGUUCAGACUCGGCACAUGGGGCAGACUUGUUGCUCAGAGGUAGGGUUACCAGCUCAUGCCAGGAGGGGGCAGGCGACCAGCAGAGCGGCCAGUGGGAACAACCGGUGAGCGGCCGGUAGGAGCGGACCGAGACAGCUGGUGGAGUGUCGUGGAGUGGCUCACGUUAAAGACUGCAGCAGAACCCUACGGAGAGGUGGGGACGUCAGCCUCGGACCACAUGAAGGAAAAUGGAGUUUCUUUUUCUUUUGAUGCUUCAGCCUCUCUAUGGAAGAAGGGGCAGCUGCAGUGAAGAAAAUGAUACAAAGAGAAAGUGGAGGUUGAAGGUAUCAAGGGUCCCCUCCCAGAUGGCCAGUCAAGUCUUAGGAGCCCUGUUGUCCCUCAUCUCUGAGUAGGGACCCUGGCCCCACGGCUUUCUGCCCAGCCAUACACUCUGAUAUCACCAACAGGCCAGUCUACUGGCAAGUGCCUCUGUGUUGCUAUCUCUGGACCGGGUAAGGCCAACAGUGAGAAGUGACCCCAGCAGUCUCUUAGCAGUUCGCAUAGUCCUAAGAAAAGAGCAUUACAAGAGCAAUGUAUUUAAAGCACUAGUUUUCCAAGCACACUAAACAGGCCAGAAAACACAUCAGUCUGGGGGUUUAGUGCAGCUUUUCCCAAAUGGGGGGUUUCCUGUGGCCAUGACAACCAGAGAUGGGGA